AGAGUUUGAUCAUGGCUCAGGAUCAACGCUGGCGGCGUGCAUGAGACAUGCAAGUCGAACGGAUGCUUACGGGCUUGCCUGUAAGCGUUAGCGGCGGACGGCUGAGUAACGCGUAGGUGACCUGCCCCGAAGUGGGGAAUAACUGCCCGAAAGGGUGGCUAAUACCGCAUGUGGUGAUGCGUUCGAUCGCAUCAGUAAAGCCGCAAGGCGCUUCGGGAGGGGCCUGCGUCCGAUUAGCUCGUUGGUGGGGUAACGGCUCACCAAGGCGACGAUCGGUAGGUGGUCUGAGAGGACGAUCACCCAGACUGGGACUGAGACACGGCCCAGACUCCUACGGGAGGCAGCAGUCGGGAAUUUUGCGCAAUGGACGAAAGUCUGACGCAGCAACGCCGCGUGAGGGAUGACGGCCUUCGGGUUGUAAACCUCUUUUGUCAGGGACGAUGAUGACGGUACCUGACGAAUAAGCCACGGCUAACUACGUGCCAGCAGCCGCGGUAAUACGUAGGUGGCAAGCGUUGUCCGGAUUUACUGGGCGUAAAGAGCGCGCAGGCGGUCGUUCAAGUCGCGUGUGAAAGCCCCCGGCUCAACUGGGGAGGGUCACGCGAUACUGAUCGACUCGAAGGCAGGAGAGGGUAGUGGAAUUCCCGGUGUAGUGGUGAAAUGCGUAGAUAUCGGGAGGAACACCAGUGGCGAAGGCGACUACCUGGCCUGUUCUUGACGCUGAGGCGCGAAAGCUAGGGGAGCAAACGGGAUUAGAUACCCCGGUAGUCCUAGCCGUAAACGAUGGACACUAGGUGUUGGUGGUAUCAACCCCGCCAGUGCCGAAGCUAACGCAUUAAGUGUCCCGCCUGGGGAGUACGGCCGCAAGGCUAAAACUCAAAGGAAUUGACGGGGGCCCGCACAAGCAGCGGAGCGUGGGGUUUAAUUCGACGCAACGCGAAGAACCUUACCAGGGCUUGACAUGACA
rnacentral:rRNA from 1 species